AUGGCGGGCGACCAAUCUGGAUCGCAGGGCAGCAAGAAGGAGAGCGUGGCAGAUCUUCUGGCCCGUUUGAAUCUGCAAGAGGAGGAGGACGAUGAGUUCAUCUGGGAAGAAGAGCUGCCGGACAGAAUUGAGCCGGCCAAGUGGCUAGCCAUAGCUAGGGUGCACACACCAAAAUUCUUUAGCCCUAGCGCUUUGUACGCAGAUAUGCGGUCGGCCUGGAACCCGGCGAGGCCGGUGGUGUGGAGGAGAAUUAACGACAAUCUCUUUACAGCACAGUUCGGCUGUCUCGGCAACUGGAAUAAGGCGAUGAACGAUGGACCGUGGCUCUUUCGCGGCAAUGGUGUGAUUAUGUGUGAGUACGAUGGGUUUAAGGACCCGGAGUCAGUCAAGUUGGACAAGCUGGCAGUAUGGGCACAAAUUCAUAAGCUGCCAAAUAACUUCUUGAUCGAGCCGGCCGUCAAGGGUAUGGCUUCAAAAAUAGGGGAGGUGCUGGAGGUUCAGUUAACUCUCCCGGCUGGUUUCUUUGGGUCCUUUGUGAGGGUGAGGCUGAAUAUUGACAUGAACGCAAAGAUUAAACGCUUUGUUACAGGGAGGAAAGGAGAUGAGAGAGUCCGCUAUCAGGUACAAUAUGAAAAAAAUACCUACUUUCUGCUACAACUGCGGUGA
rnacentral:rRNA from 1 species